CUUUUAUUCUUAAAUUUUCAUAAGACUUUUUUUAUGAAGGUGGAGUAGGUGAUUAUAUUUAAAAAAUGAAUCUAAGACUAACCCACCUUUUAAUUUUUUAAAAUAUAGUUUAACCUAAUCCUGCAUGGACUUAUAAAUCUUAUGUUAAUGCAUCUUAGGAUACAUGCAAAACAGAUCUUAUAAUAUCACUAUCAUUUAUUAUUUAAUUAGAUAAUGGGAGUGUGCUGUGUUCAUAAUUGUAAUAAAACAUAUAAAAUAGAAUCUAAUACACAUAUUUCUUAUCAUAAGUAUAUAUAUUAUUUUUUAUAUGCAACAUAUUUAUUACAUAAAGCAUUAAUAAGCUACAAACAUUGAAAAAAAAUCCUUAUUUAGUAAAAAUAUAAAGUUUUCUCAUUUUUAUUGCUAGGACAAAUAAUGCUUCUUCCUAUUGAGUUGAUAAGAUUUCUAUUUUGAACUUUGCCUAAAUAUUUUUCUGGAUAAAAUAUUAAGUUAGCCAUUUUAAAAUACAUAUUUACUAUGAUACAGUUUCAUUUUAAAUAUUUGUAAGAAAUAUGUAAACCAUAUAUAUAUUAAUAGAGGCUCUGCCAAUCAACAAAUUUUCACUGAUUCAAUACUAUAUUACUAAUAACCGAUCUGAUAUUUAUAUUGAUUUUUAUAUACUAUCUAUCUUUGUAUCAAUGUCAUAAAUAUAUCUUAUAUUUUACUCAUUAUUAUUCACCUAUUUUUAAAUAUAGAUUUCCAUUAAAAUCCAAAGAAUUAUUGGAAAAAUGGUUACAGGCUAUAAAUAGAAAAAGUUUUAUGCCUAAUAAAUAUAGUAUAAUGGGGGGUUAGUGAUUCCUUCAUCUAGUAUGUCUAUAUUAUGCCGAAUUUUUGAAAGUUCAUUUAGAACUUAUCAAAAUGAUAUUAAACGUAAAAAUAUUAUUAAAAAAAUGGAAGUGUUGGUUUUUUCCACAAUAAUUGGUACAAAUAUUUUUAUUGAUCUUACUGAAGAUAUUAAUGAACAUGAGAUUGUUACAGCCAUUUUCAAAUUCUUGUAAAAUUAAUUGUUCAAAGAUAUUUAAAUAUUAGAUUUUUCCAUUUUGCUGACUUGAGAAACCAGGAAUUGAGAACUGGUAUGAGGAAAAAUCUUACAAAAGCAAUACAAUUUAAUAAUCAAUAAGUCAUGUGAUGAUAGAAUCAAAAAGGAUGAAUGUUUAUAAUCAAAGAUAAUAUGAAUGUGAAUCAUCAUAUUGUUAAAAAUACAUUUUGUUUUUUAAAGUGUACACAUUUAUAUUUUUAUAUAUUUAUUGUAUAAACCUUAUUUAAAUGAUUUAUAUAAUAAUUUAUACCCAUGCAAAAAAUGUUAUUAUUACACUAUGUUUUUAUUGAAAAAAAAAUAAAAGAUGU